rnacentral:rRNA from 1 species
GAUGAACGCUGGCGGCGUGCCUAAUACAUGCAAGUCGAGCGAAUGGAUUGAGAGCUUGCUCUUAUGAAGUUAGCGGCGGACGGGUGAGUAACACGUGGGUAACCUGCCCAUAAGACUGGGAUAACUCCGGGAAACCGGGGCUAAUACCGGAUAACAUUUUGAACCGCAUGGUUCGAAAUUGAAAGUCGGCUUCGGCUGUCACUUAUGGAUGGACCCGCGUCGCAUUAGCUAGUUGGUGAGGUAACGGCUCACCAAGGCAACGGUGCGUAGCCGACCUGAGAGGGUGAUCGGCCACACUGGGACUGAGACACGGCCCAGACUCCUACGGGAGGCAGCAGUAGGGAAUCUUCCGCAAUGGACGAAAGUCUGACGGAGCAACGCCGCGUGAGUGAUGAGGGCUUUCGGGUCGUAAAACUCUGUUGUUAGGGAAGAACAAGUGCUAGUUGAAUAAGCUGGCACCUUGACGGUACCUAACCAGAAAGCCACGGCUAACUACGUGCCAGCCGCCGCGGUAA